AAUGAAUGAAUCUAAUGUAUAUUUUGUAAGGAAUUGACGAUAACUCCUGAAGAUGCUGUAUAAACACAGUGAAACCGGUUGAGUGAAAAUU